GAGGCACUCAAUGAAGGUCUUGACUGGAAUCUAAGGUGUACAAACCUACAAAAAAAGAGGGACGUACAGCCAGAAUAGCAGGGGAAGUAUCUCAGUUUUCACCCUUAGAGUGACAUUUUGUUUCAUAAAAGCGUUUUCAAGGCCUGGUUCCUAAACUAUUAGAAGCAGAUUAACAAACUGUUAGGCCAAUUCUUUAUCACAAAUGGGUUGGAAUAUGAUUCUAGGGGAUUUUGCUGUACAUCUACUAAACACCUUUCCGCCAAGAAUAUUAUUUGUUAUUGAAGUUUUUGCGACUCAAAACUAAUUGAAUGGUUACGCAUGCUCUAUUUAGUAGGCUUUUGCUCGUUAUGGUAAUGUAUCAGAACAUAUGUUUUAGUGUUUAUUGUUUUUUACAAUUUUAAUGAAUUACAUAUGCAGUUCCAUUUGAAGCUUACUUUAUUUUAUUAACAGAUAAGAAGGAAAUCAUCUCCAAUUCUGGGAGAUGCAAAAUCUUCAGUUGAUAAUAAGAAGAAAAUCAUCUCCAAUUCUGGGAGAUGCAAAAUCUUCAGUUGAUGUGAUUUUCUUCACCACGAUCUCAUUGGGCUUUAUUUCUGUUGCGUCAUGCAUUGAAGAUGCUGCUCGAGCUAUUAUCUUUGCUUUAAUGGACAGAAAUGAUUCAGAACUGCUCGAGCUAUUUCUUCACCGCGAUCUCAUGGGGCCAAAUUUUAGUCACACCUCCUGCAGUUUACCAAACAGAUUUUGAAGUACAUACACCUUCCAAUUGAUUAAGGGUCCGUUUGGUUUGCAACCGUUAAUGGAAUCAUAAUCGAAAUCCUCCGGAACUGGAACCAAAAUGGUCAAUUCCCAUAGUUUGUGUGGUUCAGACAGGAAUGGGAAUGGGAAUUUAAAUCAACAGGAAUGGGAUUUCAUUCCCAAGGGAGGGAGGGGAGGGAACGGCCAUUCCCUCACUGUUUCACUUCUUGUGUAUAGUAUAACUUGAUAUGUUGAUGAUCACUUUGAGAAUCUAUUGGCCAUCAAUUGAGCUCUACCAAGUUUGAACUUUU